rnacentral:rRNA from 1 species
AUGGAAGAAGAUCAGGUUAAAUUAGCAGCACUCAUCGCGGAGCUAGAGGAGCCAGUAGGUCUUUUUGACUUGCCAGCAAUUGACCCUCCUAAUACUAAGAGAAAGAAGGGAAGGGCAAUAAAGAAUUUUUCUGAGUGGAUAGAGAAAGAGCCUCCAAUGAAUUGGUCUUUGCUGCAUGACACACAUGGAGCUAGGUAUGGCCACAUGACAACCAAUCUUGCAGAGGUGUAUAACUUUGUGCUGAGAGGGAAUAGAGCAUUGCCACUCACAGCUAUUGUGGAGGCUGUAUUCCAUGGCACUUUGAGAUAUUUCAGAGAAAGGCACAAGUUAGGAAAGAAGCAUAUUGAAGAUAAUCAGAACACACCUUAUUGUAGCCGUGUCAUGGAAUACAUGGCAAAGAAGAUAGAGAAAGCAAAGAAGCACACUGUCAGACUCAUAGGGAAUCAAGAAAGGAGGUAUGAGGUUCAACUUCCUACCGAUGGUUUUGGUUCUGGAAAUGAGGUGAAGACACACGAGGUAAAAAUUGGAACGGAAUGUUAUCCAAUGUGUGAGUGUACAUGCAACAAACCGAAGUUGUUGCACCUACCUUGCUCUCAUGUGUUGGCUGCCUGUGGCCAGAUUGAGUUGGAUGCUAUAUCCUUCAUGUCCCCAUACUAUUUAAAAGAGGCAGUGCUCAACACCUGGACAGGUGAGAUGACAGGGUUUAGAGUCGUCGGCAAUUUCAACAAGGUAAACGACGGUGAGAGAGUAUACAUCCCGCAUCCAGACCUUCGGCGAACAAGUAGGGGCAGACGAAAGGCCCGUCGCAUCCGGAAUGAUAUGGACCAGUCUGAAGCUGGUGGAGCAACCAGACAAUGUUUGUUAUGCGCGGCUUAUGGGCAUAGGAUGAAAUAU